GCCCGGAUGGUCUAGUGGUAUGAUUCGCCCUUAGGGAGCCUGAAAGGACCCUGAAUUUCAAUGGGCGAGGUCCCCGGUUCAAUCCCGGGUUCGGGCC